GACGAACGCUGGCGGCGUGCUUAACACAUGCAAGUCGAACGAAGUGGCGAACGGGUGAGUAACGCGUAAUCAACCUGCCCUUCAGAGGGGGACACCAGUGGGAAACGACUGCUAAUACCGCAUACUGAAGAGGGGGAUUGCGGCUGAUUAGCUCGUUGGGGGGGUAACGGCCCACCAAGGCGAUGAUCAGUAGCCGGUCUGAGAUGAUGGACGGCCAAAUUGGGACUGAGACACGGCCCAGACUCCUACGGGGGGCAGCCGUGGGGAAUCUUCCGCAAUGGACGAAAGUCUGACGGAGCAACGCCGCGUGAGUGAUGACGGCCUUCGGGUUGUAAAGCUCUGUUAAUCGGGACGCGGUACCGGAAUAGAAAGCCACGGCUAACUACGUGCCAGCAGCCGCGGUAAUUC
rnacentral:rRNA from 1 species